rnacentral:tRNA from 2 species
AGCCCCAUAGUCUAGCGGCCAAGGAUACAGGGCUUUGGACCCUGUGACAGGAGUUCGAAUCUCCUUGGGGCUA